rnacentral:rRNA from 1 species
GGGGGGGGGGGCCAGGAAAGACAAGGAUUGUCGCUGGCAUCGCAGGUGCACGUCCUUGUUUUUCAUUGACCUCCUUUAUUCACACCUGUGCACCUAUUGUAGAACCCCUGCAAAGGGGGAUCUAUGUCUUUAUCACAUCACACACAUCGUAUGUCCAUAGAAUGUAUGAAUCAUAUUACAACUUUCAGCAACGGAUCUCUUGGCUCUCGCAUCGAUGAAGAACGCAGCGAAUUGCGAUAAGUAAUGUGAAUUGCAGAUUUCCAGUGAAUCAUCGAAUCUUUGAACGCACCUUGCGCUCCUUGGUAUUCCGAGGAGCAUGCCUGUUUGAGUGUCAUUGAAUUCUCAACCAUGAUGUCUUGAGCAACAUGGCUUGGAGUUGGAGAUUGCUGGCAAGAUCAGCUCCUCUGAAAUGCAUUAGUGAUGGAUUGCUAGUCCUCUGGGCGUGCACGGCCUUUGACGUGAUAAUGAUCGUUGGGGCUGGAGCGCCAGUGGACAUGAAUGACUCCAUCGCUUCGAAUUCCAAACCUAAUGCCUUUGGACUAGAUCGAGCUUAGCUAUUAGUUUGGUCGUGAGAUCGACGAACACAAGCGAGAUGGGGAGUUCCCUAGGUGUUGGUUCUCGAAUUUUGACCUCAAAUCAGGUAGGACUACCCGCUGAACUUAAGCAUAUCAAUAAGCGGAGGAAAAGAAACUAACAAGGAUUCCCCUAGUAACUGCGAGUGAAGCGGGAAAAGCUCAAAUUUUGAAUCUGGCGGUCUUUGGCCGUCCGAGUUGUAAUCUAGAGAAGCGUCUUCCGCACUGGACCGUGUACAAGUCUCCUGGAAGGGAGCGUCAUAGAGGGUGAGAAUCCCGUCUUUGACACGGACUGCCAGGGCUCUGUGAUGCGCUCUCGACGAGUCGAGUUGUUUGGGAAUGCAGCUCAAAAUGGGUGGUAAAUUCCAUCUAAAGCUAAAUACAGGCGAGAGACCGAUAGCGAACAAGUACCGUGAGGGAAAGAUGAAAAGAACUUUGGAAAGAGAGUUAAACAGUACGUGAAAUUGCUGAAAGGGAAACGCUUGAUGUCAGUCACGUCGGCUGGGGAUCAACCUUGCAUUUCGCUGGGUGCACUUCCUAGUGGACGGGUCAGCAUCAGUUUCGGUCGCCGUACAAUGGUCGAGGGAAUGUGGCACUCUUUGGAGUGUGUUAUAGCCUUUGGUCGUAUGCGGUGGUGGGGACUGAGGAACUCGGCA